UCUGAAAGGGAUAACACAAACAUAAUAUGCUUUAUGUGGGCAAUCAUAACAGCUUGCAGAUAUUACACGCGAGUGGCUCAUAUGAUAAUCUUUGUGGACUCGCCAAAUAUGGCUGGUAUUAUAUUUCUUGCAAUUGAAAACGACAAUACAUGGGACAAAUAAUUGACUGCGGAAAUAAAGAAACCUGGUGACUAAGAUAGAUUUAUUGCCAGUGUAAAAAGGCUUGAAUUAUCAGCAAUGACAAAAAAGCCUAUUUAUUGGUUUCAAAAAUAAAUACUGUUUCACAAUAGGACAAUAUUAUGAAUUGAAAA